rnacentral:rRNA from 1 species
AACGAACGCUGGCGGCAGGCUUAACACAUGCAAGUCGAGCGCCCCGCAAGGGGAGCGGCAGACGGGUGAGUAACGCGUGGGAAUCUACCCAUCUCUACGGAAUAACGCAUGGAAACGUGUGCUAAUACCGCAUACGUCCUUCGGGAGAAAGAUUUAUCGGAGAUGGAUGAGCCCGCGUUGGAUUAGCUAGUUGGUGGGGUAAAGGCCUACCAAGGCGACGAUCCAUAGCUGGUCUGAGAGGAUGAUCAGCCACACUGGGACUGAGACACGGCCCAGACUCCUACGGGAGGCAGCAGUGGGGGAUAUUGGACAAUGGGCGCAAGCCUGAUCCAGCCAUGCCGCGUGAGUGAUGAAGGCCCUAGGGCUGUAAAGCUCUUUCACCGGUGAAGAUAAUGACGGUAACCGGAGAAGAAGCCCCGGCUAACUUCGUGCCAGCCGCCGCAGUAAACA